rnacentral:rRNA from 1 species
CAAGGUUGAAACUCAAAGGAAUUGACGGGGACCCGCACAAGCGGUGGAUGAUGUGGUUUAAUUCGAUGCAACGCGAAAAACCUUACCUACCCUUGACAUGUCUAGAAGUUACCAGAGAUGGUUUCGUGCUCGAAAGAGAACUAGAACACAGGUGCUGCAUGGCCGUCGUCAGCUCGUGUCGUGAGAUGUUGGGUUAAGUCCCGCAACGAGCGCAACCCUUAUCAUUAGUUGCUACGCAAGGGCACUCUAAUGAGACUGCCGGUGACAAACCGGAGGAAGGUGGGGAUGACGUCAGGUCAUCAUGGCCCUUAUGGGUAGGGCUACACACGUCAUACAAUGGCCGGUACAGAGGGCUGCCAACCCGCGAGGGGGAGCUAAUCUCAGAAAACCGGUCGUAGUCCGGAUCGCAGUCUGCAACUCGACUGCGUGAAGUCGGUAAUCGCUAGUAAU